UACAGAGGUCUCGAGCGUUUGUUCGGAUUCAUUGGGCGUAAAGGGUGCGUAGGUGGCACCGUAAGUCGGGUGUGAAAUCCUGAGGCUUAACCUCGGAACUGCAUUCGAUACUGCGGUGCUUGAGGACUGGAGAGGAGACUGGAAUUCAUGGUGUAGCAGUGAAAUGCGUAGAGAUCAUGAGGAAGACCAGUGGCGAAGGCGGGUCUCUGGACAGUUCCUGACACUGAGGCACGAAGGCCAGGGGAGCAAACGGG
rnacentral:rRNA from 1 species